ensembl:lncRNA
GUUCUUAAUAAUGGGUAUUUCUUCAGGACAUUGUUAACAGCCAACAGCUUCUGCAAUUUCCAGAUGCCUCAGAGGAAAUGUUUGAUUCAAUCGUUCCUUAACAGUCAGGAUGUCAGGUGGUGUAUUGCUGUAUUGGUUGUGCAGAACCUUCACAUGGACAUUGACAGGGGUUGAAUCCUCCCCAACAAAUUACAGACACAAGCUAGACGAGUCAUCCCUGUACAGCAACCCUAAAUAAAUAACUAUAUCAUGUCUGUAGGUCCUGAUGCCCACCCAGUCAACCCAUGGAGUCCUGAUGCCCACCCAGUCAACCCAUGGAGUCCUGAUGCCCACCCAGUCAACCCAUGGAGUCCUGAUGCCCACCCAGUCAACCCAUGGAGUCCUGAUG